GCUAGUCGCACGAGUUCAGACUCGUGGCGAAUAGCUCAGUAACACGUGGCCAAACUACCCUUCGGAGCACGAUACCCUCGGGAAACUGAGGCUAAUAGUGCAUACCACAAUCCACCUGGAAUGAGGAUUGUGCCAAAUGCUCCGGCGCCGAAGGAUGUGGCUGCGGCCGAUUAGGUAGACGGUGGGGUAACGGCCCACCGUGCCAAUAAUCGGUACGGGUCAUGAGAGUGAGAACCCGGAGACGGAAUCUGAGACAAGAUUCCGGGCCCUACGGGGCGCAGCAGGCGCGAAACCUUUACACUGCACGCCAGUGCGAUAAGGGAAUCCCAAGUGCGUAGGCAUAGAGCCUACGCUUUUGUCCACCGUAGGGAGGUGUACGAAUAAGGGCUGGGCAAGACCGGUGCCAGCCGCCGCGGUAAUACCGGCAGCCCGAGUGAUGGCCGAUCUUAUUGGGCCUAAAGCGUCCGUAGCUGGCCGCACAAGUCCAUCGGAAAAUCCACCCGCUCAACGGGUGGGCGUCCGGUGGAAACUGUGUGGCUUGGGACCGGAAGGCGCGACGGGUACGUCCGGGGUAGGAGUGAAAUCCCGUAAUCCUGGACGGACCGCCGAUGGCGAAAGCACGUCGCG
rnacentral:rRNA from 1 species